AUUGAACGCUGGCGGCAGGCCUAACACAUGCAAGUCGAGCGAGCGGCGGAGGGGUGCGUAAUGUCUGGUAAACUGCCUGAGGGAGGGGGAUAACUACUGGAAACCGUAUCUAAUACCGCGUACCAUCCGCUUUGCCCAGAUGGGAAUAGCUAGUAGGUGGGGUAACGGCUCACCUAGGCGACGAUCCCUAGCUGGUCUGAGAGGAUGACCAGCCACACUGGAACUGAGACACGGUCCAGACUCCUACGGGAGGCAGCAGUGGGGAAUAUUGCACAAUGGGCGAAAGCCUGAUGCAGCCAUGCCGCGUGUGUGAAGAAGGCCUUCGGGUUGUAAAGCACUUUCAGCGGGGAGGCGUUACCCGCAGAAGAAGCACCGGCUAACUCCGUGCCAGCAGCCGCGGUAAUAC
rnacentral:rRNA from 1 species